rnacentral:rRNA from 1 species
GACCUACGGGACGCAGCAGUGAGGAAUAUUGGUCAAUGGUCGGGAGACUGAACCAGCCAAGCCGCGUGAGGGAGGAAGGUACAGAGUAUCGUAAACCUCUUUUAUCAGGGAACAAAGACUGGGACGCGUCCCCGGAUGAGUGUACCUGAAGAAAAAGCAUCGGCUAACUCCGUGCCAGCAGCCGCGGUAAUACGGAGGAUGCGAGCGUUAUCCGGAUUUAUUGGGUUUAAAGGAGGCGCAGGCGGUCUGUUAAGUCAGCGGCCAAAGCCCGGGGCGCAACCCCGGCCCGCCGUUGAAACUGGCAG